GCUAAAACGGAGAAGUAGAACAGUGAGAGGCGUUUGUCGCUGACUUGGCAAAUUACGCAAGCCUGCACUGCACUUUAGUUCAUAAUGGAGGAUCAUACUUACGCCGAGCCACAGGAGAAGGACUCCUCAACGCCGAAAAAGGCAAUGUGACCAGCUAAUUAUAACACGAGGGUAAACAUCAGGGUAGCCUUUCCCAGGUGGAAAAAGCUAAUGAAGGAGAAAGACUUUUAAAGGGACGCUGAAGUUGCCGGUUUUCUUCUCGACCGAGCAUCAUCGAUCAAGCCCAUGAUGGUUACAGUAAAGAGAGGGAUUGUCUCCAUGCUGGUGGUUGAUCUUCGGCAGUCCAAGUCUACAAAAAUCGUGACUGGGAGGGAAAAAGGGUAGAGUCAACUGAAACGAGAGAGUGAAUAGUGAAGGGUGGAGGGUUCAAACCAAAGUGAGACAACAAAAAGAGGAAGAGGAGGAGGAGGAAGUGGGGAAGUACAUGCUCGUUUUUAUUAGUGUCAUCAAGAAACAGGAAUAGGAAGUGAUGCAAUAACCACUGUUAAUGAACAGUGAUCUAACAGUCUUCAUUACAGUGCCAUCGUUAUCAUCAUAAUGAAGGAGGGAUCAUAAUCAUUAAUGAAGGGCUGUGAUGGGGAUCUCAUAACAAUGGGCAGUGGGCAAACAUACAGUAUUCACUACAGUCUGGGAAACAAUGGAAGUGAUGUCAUGAUCACAACAUUUAAAUGAUUAUGAAUAAUAUUAAACAGGUCUAAAUGUAAAAUCUGAUGAAAUGACACAAUGCAUGUUUUAGCCCAUUUGCAACCAAUUUAGUUCACUUCUACUUUUACCCAGCAUUACUUCCAAGGCUAGGGAGGAGCAUAGGCUAUCAUAGUUUUUGGGGUCCAGGUUACGUUAAAAAAAAAUGUUUACGCCUAGCUUGUAUUUAGUAUUUCUACAUAAGUCCUAGAUGCUAUAGCAAAGUCAGUGGCUCUGUCCUGCUCUUUAGUUCGAUUUGGGGAAGAUAGCGUUACUUUUACGUUACAUCAUCCUCCUAAAAGCCGUUUCUCUUGUUACUUUCAAAGUGAAAACAUACAGUUUGACAAUACAAACAGGGUGCAAACUUUUUGUCAAUCGGAGACGGCGUUUCCAACUCAUUGAGCAACCAACUCACAGAGCUAACAUUAACUAAGUUAGCUAACUAGCCACAGCUGAUACAAUCUAAAAUACGAGAAGCCUGCUUUUGUCUACCUGUGUCUGAAAUACAGGAUACACAGUUUCAAAAAUGACUCAGAAAUCUGCCUCCAUUAUUGAAAGCAGAAAGCUUGACAGCAGAAUUAAAAAACUCUGAUGCUCUAGAUUACCACCAGCACAUGAAUGCACCACGACUUCCUACAUGCAACAAUUAUAGCACAAAAGGGAAGAUGACUCAUCACUGUUAUUCCUGACUUUAAGUAUCUCAAGCAUGUUUCAAGUCCUUGCAAAAUGCUUUCCAGAUUUCAAUAAUAAUCAAAUAAUAAACUAAAAUAAAUUGCAUCCUGAAAGAAAAGCUGUUGAAACUAUUGCUUGGCAGUACAGUAUGCAGGAUUAGCAAAUGGGAUAAAACAUGUAAAAACAUUUGGCUUUUUAAUAGACAUUUCACAUUUUAACUUCAUGAUUUUUUUUCCUAUGAUUGAGUGUUGCAUCCUAUCAACACAACUUGUCACAACUUUACACUAUAGCAAAAACAAAAAAAUUGCACCAGUAACAUUUUUGUGAGAAAUGUGACAUGUGAGUUUUGUUAUUAUUGGACCAUAAUACAUGUUAUUAUGAUUUUACGUCACAACAUUUCACCACACUGGAUUUCUCUCUGAACUUUUGUUGACAUUUCAUUUCAGAUUCAGCACCCCUACAGUUAUGUUUAUAGUCUACAUAAAAACAUCUAACACAUCCUCAA